GCGGUGGUGGCGGAAUUGGUAGACGCACCAGAUUUAGGUUCUGGCGCCGCGAGGCGUAAGAGUUCAAGUCUCUUCUUCCGCACCA
rnacentral:tRNA from 1 species